AUUACUUUGACAGAUUAAUGUGUUAAAUUUAGAAUUUAAAAAAGUAAUUUAUAUUACAGGUAAUA
rnacentral:tRNA from 1 species